UACGAGGGGUGCAAGCGUUGCUCGGAAUUAUUGGGCGUAAAGGGUAGGUAGGUGGUCUCAUUUGUCUGGGGUGAAAGCCUUGAGCUUAACUCAAGAAGUGCCCCAGAAACGGUGAGACUGGAGUCUUGGAGAGGGUCGUGGAAUUCCCGGUGUAGCGGUGAAAUGCGUAGAGAUCGGGAGGAACACCAGCGGCGAAGGCGGCGACCUGGACAAGCACUGACACUCAACUACGAAAGCGUGGGGAGCAAACAGG
rnacentral:rRNA from 1 species